GGGAAGUGGGAGACCACUGCCACAUGCAGCAGAAUUCCCUACUAACCAAAGUUUAUCAAAGACACAAAUUGGCAGAUGGAGGAGGCGGUGGUUACGUGCUGCACUGCUUGGUGGGUACGCGCCUGGCUAUAGUAGGUUAAGAGGAAAUCAAGGGUGGUGCUGCUAACAUUCCACCCUCAGCUCCCUAUUCACCUCUCAUCAUCCACCCUUGUAUUUGAACUCAGUCAUUUUACCCACCCACCCAGUUUCCAUGUGAA
rnacentral:lncRNA from 12 species